UCUAAAAUGGCAGAUUAGUGCAAUAGAUUUAAAUUCUAUAUAUAUAAAUUUUUUAUUUAUUUUUAGAA
rnacentral:tRNA from 1 species